CAACAAAAUUACUGAUAAAAAUAGAAGGAUUCUUAAUUAACAAUGAAAUGGGAGUGAUGAGUGUCGCAAAACGGAUUAAAAACGAUUGGGACAGGCAUGCAUGCUCAACUCUUUCUUAUUAAUUUAUAUUACAUUAAGGUUUGACAGAUACUGUACUUUUAACGGGGGAGGCAACUAAAUGAAGGUCUGAACAUGGCUUCAGUGAUGCCCCUGCCAAGCCAGAAAUAAAUAAUUAGACUCCAUUUCAACAACUCGAAGAAGAAGAAGAAGAAGUGAAAAUGAAGUUGAAUUUGGUAGAGAGAAGAUGGGGCAUUGAUGAAGGCAGGCAGACAGAGGUUGCAAUCUUCACUUUAAUAAAGGUGCUUUGCCUGAACCAACAAAAUCCACUUGGGGGUUUGUCGUUACUUCGUGAGUCAUGCACACAUAUAACCAACAUCAAGAAUCUCAAUUUGUUAAUGUUAUGUGAUGUUAAUACAUUUUUAUUUGUUU